GAACGGUGGCCGAGUGGCUGAAGGCAACGGUUUGCUAAAUCGUCAUACGGGUUAAACUGUAUCGAGGGUUCGAAUCCCUCNNCCGGCCG
rnacentral:tRNA from 1 species